ensembl:lncRNA
GAUGACGCAACUUCUCGUGCACGUGCACUCGGUGUUAAACGCACUUCCGUGUUUACAAAUAAACAAAACAAACCUGAUUUCUACACACACACGAUCAUACAGAGACAUUCAUACACACAUUCAUUCUUGCCAGCUGUCUGCAACUUGAACAAUAAAAUAGCUUUGCUGGUGAAAAGCUACAUGAUAUUUCUCAGUAUCGAGGUGUUACAUCACUGUUUCUGAAGUAAUUCAGCUCUCAGUUUUACUACACUACUGCUGCACAGCACUGACUGCUGAGAGUCACAUGAUGCAGGUCAUUCAUACACACUUAAUCUCUCUCUCUGAUAGAUAUCUGUCAAUUCAUUCAAAUACAUGUAAUCUCAUCACACCACUGUAUCUCUGUGUCUGAUUUAUACCGGGCAAAAUUCCAGAUCUAACGACAUAACUAAUACAGAUUAACAGUCACGUUAAACUUCUAAUCAGUGUUUGUGCUUCUAAAACCAGUGACAGCUUUAAUGUUAUUAAUUGUGGAAAGACCGUGGUAUAAGGGUAAUCCAUGGCUAGAAGAUCAUCUGAAGGAUAAUGAUAUAAUCAUGGUGGUAUAAUAGGCACUGCUACUGUAGGGCUAACUUCUAGAUCAAUAAUUCCCAUUCUCUGUGCUCUUUAUCAGCUCUCCAUCCAUAACUUUCCAACUCGGAAUAUUCAUCUUCCCAGAUUUUCUCCAGGACUUUUAACUGGUGAUUAUUUUCAUGACUCUAAUGGCAUUUCCCCCAUUUCUACUCGUAAUGAUGCACAAUACCCAUAAUGCACUUUGAUGCUUGUAUGGAGGAGAAACUUGAAGUGGAGUUUUGCAGAUACACAACACUGCGUGCAGGACGUCUCUCACUCGACCUUCUGUUCCUCCUGAGGUUUUAAACCAGAACCAUAAAGAGGACGGUGUGAAAGGCGGCGGGAAUAAUACUGAAGAAAUGAAAGGUGGAUGGAGAUGGAGAUGGAGAGAGUGAAGAGCGUGUACAGAUGAGAGAAUCACGUGACAGUGUGUGGGCGUGGCAGUGUGUGUUCUCUCCCAGAGACUGGAUCAUCAAGCCAGGACCAGCAGAUUUAAAGCUUCAUGAAUCUCAGUAACUUCACAUCAUUCACACGCAAACUGAAAUUAGAACUCGGAUGAACACGCUGUCGAACUUUCAGAAGCAUAAACGCUUUAUUUUUAUAAAACUUCACAUCGCAAAAUAUGCCUUUAAAUCUUUUACACAAAAUACAAAAUUUACAAAUAAAAUUCAUAUAAACUUUUUCAACAUGCUGUACAGUGAAUAAAAAUAAAACACUAAUGACCUACAAAAGGUACAAGAAAAAAAAAGAUGAAAGACUGAAAUAUUUGGAGGAAAAACACAGCACUACAUCUGGAGAAGAAAGGGCACGGCAUAUCAUCAUGAAACAUGAAAACACCGGAGCAAGCCCACAACAGAAUGGCUUCAGAAAAACAAAAUCUGCCUUUGGAGGGGCGGAGUCAGAGCCCAGACCUCAACCCAAUAGAGAUGCUAUGGAAUGACGUGAAGAGAGCCGUACACACGAGACGUCCAAAGAACAUGACCGAGGUAAAGCAGUUCUGCAGGAAGAACGGGAUAAAACUCCUCCUGAACGAUGUGCAGGUCUGAUCCACGUGCAGGUCUGAUCCACAGCUACAGGAAGCGCCUGGUUGAGGUUAUUGCUGCCAAGCGGGGGGUCAACCAGUUAUUAAUUCUAAGGGUUCACUUACUUUUUCCACUGCCAUGUUGAAUGUUGAAUGAGCGUGUUCAAUAAAGACAUGAGGAUCAGAAUUUUGUGUGUUAUUAUUUUAGGCACAUUAUAUUUGUCAAUACCCCUGACUUAGAUGAAGAUCAGAUCACAUUUUAUGACCAAUUUAUGCAGAAAACCAUGAAAUUCCACAGGGUUCACAUACUUUUUCUUGCCACGGCAGAUGGAUUUUCUUACUGAAAACUUUAAUAGUUUAAAGUGAAUUCUAUUCUGCACGGGCUGGCAGUGGAUGGAGUGUAACAUGAGUAAUGCCGUCAAUAGUUUUAUACGACGUGGCUCAUCUACACUCUGAUUAAUGAUCUUAUCAUACACUCUGGACCUGGCCUAAGGGUUAUUUAAAUUCGACUCCUCAUUCUCACGGAGCUGCUGAUUUUCUCUCCUCAGACGCACAUACAUCACAGAUACAACCACAAGCACAGAUACAAGCAGCAGUACCAUCAGUAUCAGUACAAUCCCCCACACUGGUACUCCUUCCUGCUGCUUGAUGUCUGGACACGGCUCUCUCAUAUGGACCGUUACGAUGGCUAAAGUCUCGUCAUUCACUAUAUCCUGUACUGUGUAGUUCCCACUGUCAGAGACGUCUCCAUCUUUAAUCUGAAGAGUGUUGAGGAGAGACGCUCUCUCUUUAUAAUCUGGACUGCACUGGAUCUUCUCCUUGUCCACGCUGCAGAUCUGCAGGUUUGAUGGUUGUACAGCAUCACUGGAAGUAAAACUCACAUCCACCAGGUCAGUGAGGGGUAAGAGCACGAAGUGUGUAGUGUUGAGGUUAAAGUCCACAUUACACUGGCCAAGUGAUGACCAACACUACAGAAAUAACACAAAACUAAACCUAUAAACACAAACACACAACA